rnacentral:rRNA from 1 species
UACAGAGGUCUCAAGCGUUGUUCGGAUUCAUUGGGCGUAAAGGGUGUGUAGGUGGCGCCGUAAGUCGGGUGUGAAAUUUCGGAGCUUAACUCCGAAACUGCAUUCGAUACUGCGGUGCUUGAGGACUGGAGAGGAGACUGGAAUUCAUGGUGUAGCAGUGAGAUGCGUAGAGAUCAUGAGGAAGACCAGUGGCGAAGGCGGGUCUCUGGACAGUUCCUGACGCUGAGGCACGAAGGUCAGGGGAGCAAACGGG